GUAACACGUAUCCAACCUGCCGUCUACUCUUGGACAGCCUUCUGAAAGGAAGAUUAAUACAAGAUGGCAUCAUGAGUCCGCAUGUUCACAUGAUUAAAGGUAUUCCGGUAGACGAUGGGGAUGCGUUCCAUUAGAUAGUAGGCGGGGUAACGGCCCACCUAGUCUUCGAUGGGUAGGGGUUCUGAGAGGAAGGUCCCCCACAUUGGAACUGAGACACGGUCCAAACUCCUACGGGAGGCAGCAUG
rnacentral:rRNA from 1 species